rnacentral:misc_RNA from 1 species
GAUGAAGAACGCAGCGAAAUGCGAUAAGUAAUGUGAAUUGCAGAAUUCAGUGAAUCAUCGAAUCUUUGAACGCACAUUGCGCCCAUUAGUAUUCUAGUGGGCAUGCCUGUUCGAGCGUCAUUAAUUCCACUUAAGCCCUGCUUAGUGUUGGGAAUCUACUCUAGUGGUGCUACCCUGGAGCUACCCCUGAAAGGGGGCUGGCCCGGUAGCUACCCUGUAGUUCCUCAAAGAUAGUGCGCGGAGUUGCGUGGUCCUCUGAGCUUAGUAACUAUACACCUAGCUUUUGAGUGACCCGCGGCGCCUGCCGUUUAAACCCCAUCUUUUAAUGGUUGACCUCGGAUCAGGUAGGAAUACCCGCUGAACUUAAGCAUAUCAAUAAGCGGAGGA